rnacentral:rRNA from 1 species
UACGUAGGGGGCAAGCGUUGUCCGGAUUUAUUGGGCGUAAAGAGCGUGUAGGCGGUUUGGUAGGUCCGCUGUGAAAACUCGAGGCUCAACCUCGAGACGCCGGUGGAAACCAUCAGACUAGAGUCCGGAAGAGGAGAGUGGAAUUCCUGGUGUAGCGGUGGAAUGCGCAGAUAUCAGGAAGAACACCUGUGGCGAAAGCGGCUCACUGGACCAUAACUGACGCUGAUGCACGAAAGCUAGGGGAGCAAACAGG